rnacentral:rRNA from 1 species
UACGUAGGGUCCGAGCGUUGUCCGGAAUUAUUGGGCGUAAAGGGCUCGUAGGCGGUUGGUCACGUCGGGAGUGAAAACUCAGGGCUCAACCCUGAGCGUGCUUCCGAUACGGGCCGACUAGAGGUAUGCAGGGGGAGAACGGAAUUCCUGGUGUAGCGGUGGAAUGCGCAGAUAUCAGGAGGAACACGGUGGCGAAGGCGGUUCUCUGGGCAUGUCCUGACGCUGAGGAGCGAAAGUGUGGGGGAGCGAACAGG